UUAGAGUUUGAUCCUGGCUCAGGAUGAACGCUAGCGGCAGGCUUAACACAUGCAAGUCGAGGGGCAGCGAGAUCAGUGCUUGCACUGAUUGUCGGCGACCGGCGCACGGGUGCGUAACGCGUAUGCAACCUACCCAUUACAGGGGGAUAACACUGAGAAAUCGGUACUAAUACCCCAUAACAUCCAGGGAGGCAUCUUCUUGGGUUGAAAACUCCGGUGGUAAUGGAUGGGCAUGCGUUGUAUUAGUUAGUUGGUGGGGUAACGGCUCACCAAGACAACGAUACAUAGGGGGACUGAGAGGUUAACCCCCCACAUUGGUACUGAGACACGGACCAAACUCCUACGGGAGGCAGCAGUGAGGAAUAUUGGUCAAUGGACGCAAGUCUGAACCAGCCAUGCCGCGUGCAGGAAGACGGCUCUAUGAGUUGUAAACUGCUUUUGUACGAGGGUAAACGCAGAUACGCGUAUCUGUCUGAAAGUAUCGUACGAAUAAGGAUCGGCUAACUCCGUGCCAGCAGCCGCGGUAAUACGGAGGAUUCAAGCGUUAUCCGGAUUUAUUGGGUUUAAAGGGUGCGUAGGCGGUCGGAUAAGUUAGAGGUGAAAUCCCGGGGCUCAACUUCGGAAUUGCCUCUGAUACUGUUCGGCUAGAGAGUAGUUGCGGUAGGCGGAAUGUAUGGUGUAGCGGUGAAAUGCUUAGAGAUCAUACAGAACACCGAUUGCGAAGGCAGCUUACCAAGCUACUUCUGACGUUGAGGCACGAAAGCGUGGGGAGCAAACAGGAUUAGAUACCCUGGUAGUCCACGCAGUAAACGAUGAUGACUGGUUGUCGGCGAUACAGUGUCGGUGACUAAGCGAGAGCGAUAAGUUAUCCACCUGGGGAGUACGUUCGCAAGAAUGAAACUCAAAGGAAUUGACGGGGGCCCGCACAAGCGGAGGAACAUGUGGUUUAAUUCGAUGAUACGCGAGGAACCUUACCCGGGCUUGAAAGUUAGUGACGGAUCUUGAAAGAGGUCUUCCCUUCGGGGC
rnacentral:rRNA from 1 species